ACUCCCUUAUGUGGGGAGCAGGACUGAUGCCUUGAGUUACUUAUAGUGACUCGUUAGUUGGGGGAUUUGCUAGUAUUUUCAUCAAACUUGAAUCUAGUGAAACAUUUGAUUGAACUGGCUUCCAAAUUGAAAAUAAACCAACACCACUCAGGAAACCUAUUUACAGCGAGAAGUCAGGAGUGGGAAUGCAUCUUGCACUGUCACCUUGAUUAACAAUAGCUCUGACCUGUGGGAGGACGGUCCUCUCUCCUGUAACAAACAUAGGGUAGUGAUGGGCCAGGUCCUGCUGCUCCUACAUUCUCAUCACUUA
rnacentral:lncRNA from 1 species